CUGUGACCGUUUCUCAAACUUCCUUGUGUUUAAUGACCUUGACAGUUUUGAGGAAUACUGGUCAGAUUUUGUAGGACGUCCUUCUCUUAUAAGGUGUCUAAUUUUUUUCUCAUGUAUAGACUGAGGUUAUGGGGUUAGGGGAAGAAGAUCGCAGAAGUAAAACGUCAUUCUCCUCACUUCCUACCAAGCCCACAUUUAAGGAAUGGGGCCUCACGAUCCACCUCCACGAAAGUAGAACAUCC
rnacentral:lncRNA from 1 species